rnacentral:tmRNA from 2 species
GGGGGCGUAAAGGCUUCGACGGGGAUGCAGAAGUGCGGGCAGCGAGUAGGAGGCGGGACUCCUUCAUCACCCCGAAAUUAAAAUUAAACGCUAACGAUAAUAGAGUAGCACUUGCUGCGUAACUAAACGCAGCCGUCUGACCGGACAGGACCACGGGUCCGGAUCGGGCGUCGAUUAGUGGUGAACGCCUUCAGCUUUUUCCUUGGGGCUGCUGGUGUAUCAGAGGAUACCGUAGCGCAUAGCCUGUUUGCCGGCGGUGCGUGAGGGGAAUCCUAAAAGACAAACUGCACUCGGAGAUACCUGCGUGGAAGUGUUUUCGGACGGGGGUUCAAUUCCCCCCGCCUCCACCA